rnacentral:rRNA from 1 species
UACGUAGGUGGCAAGCGUUGUCCGGAAUUACUGGGUGUAAAGGGAGCGCAGGCGGGACAGCAAGUUGGAUGUGAAAUACCGAGGCUUAACCACGGAGCUGCAUCCAAAACUGUUGUUCUUGAGUGAAGUAGAGGUAGGCGGAAUUCCGAGUGUAGCGGUGAAAUGCGUAGAUAUUCGGAGGAACACCAGUGGCGAAGGCGGCCUACUGGGCUUUAACUGACGCUGAGGCUCGAAAGUGUGGGGAGCAAACAGG